UACGAGAGGCCCAAACGUUAUUCGGAAUUACUGGGCUUAAAGAGUUCGUAGGCGGCGCGGAAAGUAGGGUGUGAAAGCCCUCGGCUUAACCGAGGAAUUGCGCUCUAAACUACCGUGCUUGAGGAACCUAGAGGUGAGCAGAACAGAUGGUGGAGCGGUGAAAUGCGUUGAUAUCAUCUGGAAUACCGGAGGCGAAGGCGGCUCACUGGGGGUUUUCUGACGCUGAGGAACGAAAGCCAGGGUAGCGAACGGG
rnacentral:rRNA from 1 species